GACGAACGCUGGCGGCGUGCUUAACACAUGCAAGUCGAACGGAAAGGCCCUGCUUUUGUGGGGUGCUCGAGUGGCGAACGGGUGAGUAACACGUGAGUAACCUGCCCUUGACUUUGGGAUAACUUCAGGAAACUGGGGCUAAUACCGGAUAGGAGCUCCUGCUGCAUGGUGGGGGUUGGAAAGUUUCGGCGGUUGGGGAUGGACUCGCGGCUUAUCAGCUUGUUGGUGGGGUAGUGGCUUACCAAGGCUUUGACGGGUAGCCGGCCUGAGAGGGUGACCGGCCACUUGGGGCCGGGGAUACGCCCCAGCCCCCUCGGGGGGGCAGCGGGGGGAAAUUUGGCAAAAGGGGCGGAAGCCUGAUGCAGCAACCCCGCGGGGGGGAGGACGGCUUUCGGGUGGAAACCCGCUUUCGCCUGGGACGAAGCGUGGUGGAGGGUAAUGGGAAAAGAAGCACCGGCUAACUACGG
rnacentral:rRNA from 1 species